rnacentral:tRNA from 1 species
UGGGGUGUAGCUCAACCGGCAGAGCGCCUGGCUGUUAACCAGGAGGUUGGAGGUUCGAGCCCUCCCGCCCCAG